AGCUCUCCACUGCUCACACAUCUGCACCCAUAUGGGAUGUGCGCACCAUCAGGGGCUAUGCUCAUGCAUAUACUGUUCACCCUGUCCUGGAUGGUCAAUCUCAGCAUUGUACAGGUCUUUCUGUCGUUCUUUGUUCAGAUUAUCUUUAGUUCGGACGGCGCACUUCUGCCAGAACAGUGCCUGAAUAACUGAUGCAUGUGCGCCGUCCCAUCUAUACCGCUUCUGCAAAUAAAACAACAAUAAUAAUAUUAAAACUGUUAUAUUACCAUAAUCCAACAUUACUAAACUAUUAGUUGAUUAACUAUGUAUUAUCUAUCAGAGUGAUUAAAUAAAUAUACCUGAAAUUCAG
rnacentral:lncRNA from 1 species